rnacentral:rRNA from 1 species
GUCUACGGCCAUACCACCCUGAAUGCGGCCGAUCUCGUCUGAUCUCGGAAGCAGAGUCGGGCCUGUUUAGUACUUGGAUGGGAGACUGCCUGGGAAUACCGUCAACUGUGGGCU